CUAGAUACCCGUAUGUAGAAAUGACUGACUUGUCGACAAUCGGUAAUGUUUAUAAAGGAAACGAAAAUGGAAAUUCUUUUUAACCAAGAGGACUAUUUUUAAAGUUUGAAGAUCUAUUUGUAUUCAUCUAUUCAAGGUCGUGUCAAUUUAUAACUAUAGGUCGGCAAAAGUGCAAUUGAUGUUUUUGUGUUUGAAGGAAAAAAUCACACCCUGUUUGUAGAAUACCUCAUUUAGGAUAUAAUGGAAUAUUGGAAUAAGAAACUUCUUGCAGAUGCU